GACCUAAUAGCACAAAAUCGGGAGUGCAGCUGCCCACGUUGGAGUAGAUGCAGGUUGGAUGCAGGAGGACCGUGUUCGAUUCACGGUUAGGUCA